rnacentral:rRNA from 1 species
UAGGGAAUCUUCUGCAAUGGACGCAAGUCUGACGGAGCAACGCCGCGUGAGUGAAGAAGGAUUUCGGUUCGUAAAACUCUGUUGUUAGAGAAGAACAGCGCAUAGAGUAACUGUUAUGCGUGUGACGGUAUCUAACCAGAAAGCCACGGCUAACUACGUGCCAGCAGCCGCGGUAAUACGUAGGUGGCAAGCGUUGUCCGGAUUUAUUGGGCGUAAAGCGAGCGUAGGCGGUCAAUUAAGUCUGAUGUGAAAGCCCCCGGCUCAACCGGAGAGGGUCAUUGGAAACUGGUUGACUUGAGUGCAGAAGAGGAGAGUAGAAUUCCAUGUGUAGCGGUGAAAUGCGUAGAUAUAUGGAGGAACACCAGUGGCGAAGGCGACUCUCUGGUCUGUAACUGACGCUGAGGCUCGAAAGCGUGGGUAGCAAACAGG